AUUGAACGCUGGCGGCAGGCUUAACACAUGCAAGUCGAGCGAGCGGCGGACGGGUGAGUAAUGUCUGGGAAACUGCCUGAUGGAGGGGGAUAACUACUGGAAACGGUAGCUAAUACCGCAUACCAUCAGAUGUGCCCAGAUGGGAUUAGCUAGUAGGUAGGGUAAUGGCCUACCUAGGCAACGAUACAUAGCCGACCUGAGAGGGUGAUCAGCCACACUGGAACUGAGACACGGUCCAGACUCCUACGGGAGGCAGCAGUGGGGAAUAUUGCACAAUGGGCGCAAGCCUGAUGCAGCCAUGCCGCGUGUAUGAAGAAGGCCUUCGGGUUGUAAAGUACUUUCAGCGAGGAGGCGUUACUCGCAGAAGAAGCACCGGCUAACUCCGUGCCAGCAGCCGCGGUAAUUC
rnacentral:rRNA from 1 species